AGAAUGAUAUUUGCUAUGAUGUUUUGAGUUAUCCAACAUUGACAGAGCAGCACUGAAGUUACAAUAUGAAAUUUGUCAGACUAAUCCUGCCCUAUUGGAACUGUAUAACAUAAGCAAGAUUCCUGUUUUAUCAUUGAAAUGGAGUUACUAACCCUAGCUUAGUGGUCAAAGCCUUAAAGGUCCCAUCUCCCUACAUACAGGACCUUCUCAGGACCUAUUUACUCUUCGUAUUAUCUAUCAGUUAUUUUUCAUUGGCAAAAGAGACUGCAGUACGAAACAAUAGAAAAGAAUGCAGGAGGACUUCUACCUACAAUAUUUGAAAUUGUCAUAAACCUACUAAGUUUAUGAAAAGCUGGUGAGAUGCUGUUUGUUGCAUGUACAAGUGAUUCGUUAGUGGCUUCUAAAGAAAGAUAAAUUUGGAGUUUCAGUUGGGUAAAUACAGAUUAGUCCGUCAGCUGGGGGCUUAAUUCUUUUAACUUCUGAGAAUAUACACAUUAAUUACCAGUAGCGUGUUUCUUGGUUAGCUUGAUUUGACAAAGAAGUCGAACAGAGAAUUUUUAGUGUUGGUGUCAAACAGUCAUGAUAAACUAAUUACCUCCAACAUUUUUCUCAAGUGUUUCUAAAACACGAGGGGAUUGAUUUGAAAUUUAUAUCCAUAACUUCUCCAUAUAAGUACCUGAGUGGAACAGUUUGCCUUCCAAGGCUAACUACAAGUUUGUCUCACAAUUAAAAUGAGGACCAAAGAGUUCUAAAAAUUGGAUUUUAUUGAUUUUUUUCUGUACUAAUUGAAAGAGGUAUUCUUUUUAUCAAUAACUAGUCUUUUGGAGAGAGUCAAGUUUUCAGUACUACAUUAUUUCAGAUGAGCAGUUGAGGAUUAUUAAGUGUGCUGAUUUAUUUCUGUGCUUUUUCUUUUAGGUCAUAUUGCCUACAACACAUAUAUAAAGUUUAAGUUGUUAUUACCUAAGAAGAAGAUCAACUAUUAUAUGAACAUUCAGCCAUGGUAGUCAGGAUGCCCUUCAAUUAGCCAAUUCAAGAAGGAUCGAGUUUAUUGUAAAAUAAACAAUUUGAUCCAGUUGAAUAUCUACUAAUUCGUAGAAAUAACAUACAAGUUCCUGAAACAGGAAACCUCUAGAAGUGAUGAGCAAAACCAAAACAAAUUUUCUUUUGUCAUCAAAGAUUGCAUGAAAUAAUCUUUACAUGAAGAUGGUAACCUUGAUUCGAUUCUUAAGUGACAACCUUUGCGUUUUGAAGAAAAUUGGCAGUGAUCUGGUGAAGUUAUUUUGUUAACGCAUACUUCAUACAAAAUCUGUAGAUCAGGGGCGUACUAAUACUAAAUCUAAUAUGUAACAUGUAUUUGUACUUCUUAGGGACACUGUGUUCCUGACCGAUCUUUAUGGAAUAAAUGAUAACAUCUCCUUUUCACAGAGUUGUUUCAGGUAUGAUCUCUGAUCAAGCCGUUGCUUCUUUUGAAGUUUUUUCACAUACAUGAAAGAAAGCUUGACUACUAUAAUAAGCUAUGGAAAUAACUGCUGCAGCUAAUGAAAUGAUGAAUCGCACAAAAUGAAGUAUCAUGCUCACAUAAAGUAAAAAUAAGGAUUGUGCUGCUGACAAGGAGAAAUUGCCAGAAGAAUAUACUUUUUACUUGAUAUACCAGGGUUGUUAUAAACUAAGUUGCGCAGACUCUUCAUUUACUAUGUUGCACCCAUGUUUGAUUCUCCAAAAAUACACUACUUUUGGAGAUCCGACACACAUUCGUUGACAUCUAGGUUAAGAAUUUAUUUUUGGUCCUAAUAUUUUAUUUAAAGCCUUCCUAACAUUCCUUAGA